ensembl:lncRNA
CGUGGUUUGUGGUCGGGUGUGUGCUGGGGAGCAGGGGCUGUGCUGGCAGCAUGCACGGGCUCACUGUGCAUCAGGCAGGAGCAGUGAUGCCUGCAGUGUUCUCUGGGAGCACUGAGGCAGCGCAGGGGGACUCUGCUGGUGAGGGCACAUCCCUGCUUUCCUAACAGGUCUGACAUCUGUGUGCGCAGACCUUCGCCCUGGGCUUUGCACACAGUGCUCAGUGCUCCAUUAUUCCACGUGUUCUGUGCUCGGUGUGUAAGCAACCAAAUGCGUGCGGUCACCGCCUCCCCUCCGGGUACUGCUGGGUAACACCACUCCAGGGCUGGGAUGGCCGCUCUCCCAGGCCUGGGCUGAGGGGUUCUGCUGUCCCAGGUGUCCUGCUGGGAAAAUGAGACCGUGCAGCUCUCCUCCUGACCUCAAACUGGGUCAGGGGAGCAGCAGACUCCAGAGCCGGAGUGGUGAUGCCCAAGGUUGAUGAGGAGGGAUUGCCGUGACCCCGUGCCUGUGACAGUUGUUUCAGGUAAGCGCCGUACUUUCUUACCCUUCCUGCCUUGGGGAAUGCCCUGGGCCUGCCAGCAUGGGAGUGAGGACGGUGAGGGCCCUGCAGCCCCCGCCUGGGGGUGGCCGGUGUGGGGCAGUGGGGAUGGGGACCUGACCUCUGCUCCAGGGUCUCUGGGACAAGUACCACUGCUCUCAGAGGACAGGAGGCUCCUGGUCACCGUGUUGGUGUGGUGCUUCUUCCAGCCCCAGCUGCUCGGGUGCUGCCAUGUGCCGUGGGGCUUCUCCUGCCCUGCCCAAAGCUGCCAGAGCCUCUGGAAGCAAGCAGUGGUGGGGGGUGUGCCAGGAGCAGGAUGGGGG